rnacentral:rRNA from 1 species
CCUACGAGAGGCAGCAGUGGGGAAUAUUGCACAAUGGGGGAAACCCUGAUGCAGCAACGCCGCGUGAGUGAAGAAGUAUCUCGGUAUGUAAAGCUCUAUCAGCAGGGAAGAAGAUGACGGUACCUGAGUAAGAAGCCCCGGCUAACUACGUGCCAGCAGCCGCGGUAAUACGGAGGGGGCAAGCGUUAUCCGGAUUUACUGGGUGUAAAGGGAGCGUAGACGGUGAGCCAAGUCUGAAGUGAAAGCCCGGGGCUCAACCCCGGGACUGCUUUGGAAACUGCCUGGCUGGAGUGCAGGAGAGGCAAGCGGAAUUCCUAGUGUAGCGGUGAAAUGCGUAGAUAUUAGGAAGAACACCGGUGGCGAAGGCGGCUUACUGGACUGUAACUGACGUUGAGGCUCGAAAGCGUGGGGAGCAAACAGGAUUAGAUACCCCUGUAGUC